rnacentral:hammerhead_ribozyme from 1 species
AUCCAGCUGAUGAGUCCCAAAUAGGACGAAACGUGCAUCCUGGAU